rnacentral:rRNA from 1 species
GACGAACGCUGGCGGCGUGCUUAACACAUGCAAGUCGAACGAAGUGGCGAACGGGUGAGUAAAGCGUAAUCAACCUGCCCUUCAGAGGGGGACAACAGUUGGAAACGACUGCUAAUACCGCAUACUGAAGGAGGGGAGUGCGGCUGAUUAGCUAGUUGGAGGGGUAACGGCCCACCAAGGCGAUGAUCAGUAGCCGGUCUGAGUGGAUGAACGGCCACAUUGGGACUGGUGCACGGCCCAGACUCCUACGGGGGGCAGCAGUGGGGAAUCUUCCGCAAUGGACGAAAGUCUUACGGAGCAACGCCGCGUGAGUGAUGACGGCCUUCGGGUUGUAAAGCUCUGUUAAUCGGGACGCGAUACCGGAAUAGAAAGCCACGGCUAACUACGUGCCAGCAGCCGCGGUAAUAC